rnacentral:rRNA from 1 species
UGGGGAAUUUUGCACAAUGGGGGAAACCCUGAUGCAGCGACGCCGCGUGAUUUAGAAGGCCUUCGGGUUGUAAAAAUCUUUUCUAUGGGAAGAAAAUGACAGUACCAUAGGAAUAAGGACCGGCUAAUUACGUGCCAGCAGCCGCGGUAAUACGUAAGGUCCGAGCGUUGUCCGGAAUCAUUGGGCGUAAAGGGUACGUAGGCGGGUAAGCAAGUUAGAAGUGAAAUCCUAUAGCUCAACUAUAGUAAGCUUUUAAAACUGCUCAUCUUGAGGUAUGGAAGGGAAAGUGGAAUUCCUAGUGUAGCGGUGAAAUGCGCAGAUAUUAGGAGGAAUACCGGUGGCGGAGGCGACUUUCUGGCCAUAACCAGACGCUGAGGUACGAAAGCGUGGGUAGCAAACAGG